ACGAGGCUCUGGGGAUUAAUGAAGUGAUUUCACUGCUGGUUUUGUGGGGCAAUAAGCCCGAAGUCAGAGCUCUUUGGGCUGGCUGCACCCGGCUGAGGUCAGACUUCAGCAUCCAAACCCUGCUCAGGGCCCUGGCUCGGCAGCUUUGCGAGGCUGAGCCUUGGAUGAGCUUCCCAACAAAGCCUUUCCCAGGCUGGACAGGGCUUGGAGCAACCUGGUCUAGUGGAAGAUGUCCUUGGCCAUUCAGGGAUGGGUCAUGCUGAGGUUGGAAGAGGAGCCAGGGGAACGAGGAGCUGGAUAAAUGUGGGGUGAAUACGGAGCUUGGAAGGCCGGAGCUGUCACUCCCACAUCCUCCAGCAGCUCCAGAGAAAACCAAUACCCACGAACUCACUGGGAAAGGCCAAGGCAGGAAAAAGGGAAAGGUUGAUUACAGGAAAGUGGGAUAUAGAUACAGGGAGAGCUAAGUCAGGAAAAGUUCAGCUCCUUCAAGGUCCAAGUUAAACACGUGUUAAUGAACCUGCCCCUUCCACAGGCUCCCACACAAAAGUCGGAUGUGUCAAGCCCUGGGGUCUGGCUGCCACGCCAGGAAUUAGCCAAAAAAUGAGGUUCUGCAGCAGCCCCACGAGCAGCUGCCCUGGGGAGGGAGCUUUGGGCUGGUGACACUGGGCUGGAGCUGUGCUGAGUGUUGUGACAAGCUCUGCUGGGGGGAGCAUGUCCCAGCUCUGGGGUUGGGUGUGUGGGAAGGUUUUGGGGGCGACCUCCUGUGUUCUGCUCAGCCCAAAUCCAUUCCUCAUGUGUUGUCUCCCCUUUUAUCCGGUCUGGUUUCAGCAGCACAGCUUCCAGCCUUCUGCAAAGGAGGCUAUUCCCCUUGCUCAUAAAUCUCCUAUCAGGAAGCUGUUUCCAAGAUUAAAGCUUUAAACGUUUCCCCUCUCUGGUUUCACGUCCCAGCUCCCAAUUCCCUCCCUGCUGCAAUCACCAGCUCCAUCCCCUCCAUCUGGACACUCAGUGCCUCACACCACGCUCUGUCUGCUCCAGGAAAACCUGUGCUGGGACACUCUGGAACGGGGCUGUGCUCCUCCAGAGCUUGGAAACGGCCGCUGCAGGCUGUGUGUCAUGGAGUUUGGAAAGCUCUCCCCGCUGCAGGUCCCUCCUGGCUGCGUGAAGAGCUGACUUAGCGUUUGGAGGAGCUGAAGGUUGCCUAAUCCCUCGUGGCUCAGCCUGUUGGGAAUUAGGGGAGUUGAGGAGCUGGACAGGAAAGGUGCUCGCCUUCAAGUCUUUAUCUGGCCUCUUCUAAUGCCCUGUGUGCCACCAGAUAAAAUCUUGUGUGCGUUUUUAAUUUUUAUUUUUACGCGAGAAAGCAACGCUGAAGUUUCCUCCUGACAUUUAACUCAGUCAGUGAGUGACAAACCCAAUAAACAUUCCUGUUUCGCUGGGACAAAGGCUCCAAGAUCCUGCUGGGACUAAAAUGUUUCAUCAUUUCCGAAGUAAAACGUUUCAGUUUAGAAAAAAAAUAAGAACAACAACUAAAAAUGACACGUUUCAAUGUUUUUCUAAUUAUUUUCUCCACUUUGGCUGGAGCUAUUUGUCAAAUCUGGCCUGGCUUCUCAAGUAGCUUUGGAACCUUCCAAAACUGCUAUUUUGGGCACUUUUCCUGUUUCUGAUGAAUAAGUUUGAUCCCUGCCCUGCGUUCCUGUUCAUUCCAGGUGUUUUCUGGGGUGUCCUACAGGUGGAUGGAGCCUUGGUGCCAUGGCAGGGACACCUCCCACCAUCCCAGGU